UCUCAGGCCAGGCUGUGGUGAUCCAGAGGCUCCAAUCAUCCAAAGUUAAACAUGACUUACGGACAUACAGCCCUAGACCUGGUUCCCGCCUUAUCGCACACCUGAGUUAUGCCUCCAGGGAGUCACGAAAAGGCUUCACGUGCAGCACACUAAGGGAGAAGCUGUCCCCCAGCUACAGUAAUCUCUGCCCUGGUCUUGUUGCAUUUUCAUUUUCCUCUAUAUAUAACAUACUGCUAGGCCUAUAAACAGCAAGAUUGUGUCUUGUAUGCAGGGAAUUGCUUAUGUAAUGUGUUUUCCUGACUGAUGAAGUGCAUCAUUGCACAUAACUGCACUCAGGGUAGUACCUGAGCAUAAUUAUCACACUUUCACAGUUAUCUUUCAUUCUGAGUAGCCUGCCAUACCAGUACAUCCAGGGAUGUAGUGGAGGCUAAACACAAGUAAACACACUUUGUCCACCUCUGAAAUUUCAGAAAUAGAGUUUAUCCACCUCUUAUUAGAGUUUAUUCACCAAUCACAAUUUUUAACAUUCAAAAAUCACACUGUAUUAUCCACAUUCACAAUUAUGUACACUCUAGGAACCAUUUAAUACCACUGAUAUCGUUAUAAACCUUGGGGGCAAUUCCACACAAAACUGUCACGUCCAUAAGGCCAGCUAAAUACUAUGGCAUUGUGUUGCCGUUUUGGAUGUGACAGUUUUGCGCGGAAUUGCACUUGGACAAUAGCCUCCACCAUCAUCAAACAUGUUCUGAAUGGCUUUUUUAAAACUCUGAUAGCACAUGGCACAGUCCACCUCACAGAAUUCAUAGUUUACCCACUUCUUAUUUUACUACUACAUCCCUGAGUACAUCCAUAUGCUCUCAUCAGCAUCUUCUAUUUUUCUUGAAAGAAACUUGCAUAGAUUAUGUACAUUUUUUAUGUUAUGUAAUGAGCUGAAAUUGCUGUCCAUCUAGCCUUGUUUUAUAAACAGAGAAGUACAUGUUUUAUUUGUACUAAUUCUAUUGUACACGAUUAAAUGAAUAAAUGUUGGAGUCAUCGGUGA